rnacentral:rRNA from 1 species
GAUGAACGCUGGCGGCGUGCCUAAUACAUGCGAGUCGAGCGAACAGACGAGGAGCUUGCUCCUCUGACGUUAGCGGCGGACGGGUGAGUAACACGUGGAUAACCUACCUAUAAGACUGGGAUAACUUCGGGAUACCGGAGCUAAUACCGGAUAAUAUAUUGAACCGCAUGGUUCAAUAGUGAAAGACGGUUUUGCUGUCACUUAUAGAUGGAUCCGCGCCGCAUUAGCUAGUUGGUAAGGUAACGGCUUACCAAGGCAACGAUGCGUAGCCGACCUGAGAGGGUGAUCGGCCACACUGGAACUUAGACACGGUCCAGACCCCUACGGGAAGCAGCAGUAGGGAAUCUUCCGCAAUGGGCGAAAGCCUGACGGAGCAACGCCGCGUGAGUGAUGAAGGUCUUCGGAUCGUAAAACUCUGUUAUUAGGGAAGAACAAAUGUGUAAGUAACUAUGCACGUCUUGACGGUACCUAAUCAGAAAGCCACGGCUAACUACGUG